rnacentral:rRNA from 1 species
AGAGUUUGAUCCUGGCUCAGAGCGAACGCUGGCGGCGUGCUUAACACAUGCAAGUCGAGUGCGCGUCUGUAGCAAUACAGAUGGCGCACGGCGCACGGGUGCGUAACACGUGGGUAAUCUGCCCUUCGAUGGGGAAUAACUCCGGGAAACCGAAGCUAAUUCCGCAUAACAUUCCUUGAACUUCGGUUUAAGGAUUCAAAGCCGUAAGGCGUCGGAGGAGGAACCCGCGCACGAUUAGCUAGUUGGCAGGGUAACGGCCUACCAAGGCUUUGAUCGUUAGCUGGUCUGAGAGGAUGACCAGCCACACUGGGACUGAGACACGGCCCAGACUCCUACGGGAGGCAGCAGUGGGGAAUAUUGGACAAUGGGGGCAACCCUGAUCCAGCGACGCCGCGUGUGUGAAGAAGGCCUGCGGGUUGUAAAGCACUUUUAGUGGGGAUG